GGGGAGAGCAAACUGACAGCUGGUUUGUUUUCAUCAACAAGGGGGAUUUCAAAGUAGACGUUAAAGGCCAUCGGUACAAAAGCAAAAGAAGACGGCGAGCAGCAAUCGUGGUCAGAUUAAGGCAGACAUCGCUUCAGCUGAAGGGGAGGCUGCGCACCAGGAAGGAGCUAUGGAGCCACCAGAGGAUAACGAUGGCCGUACCUUUGUGGAGGUGAUCAGUGAAAAGUAUAGCCCAGAGAACUUCCCAUACCGCAGAGGGCCUGGUAUGGGGGUGGUAGUAGUGUCCACUGGAGGUCCUCAAGGUUCCCCUAUGAAAGGUGAGCCAAGGAGAACUAUUGGGCAACUGAAAAGGCUAACGGGUCCCUUUGUCACAUUUUAGCACUUCCAAGUGAUAACGAGCACUUUAUUCAGUGUCAUCACCACGACAGUGAACUCAUAGACCUAGUAUUAAAAAUGCUGUCAUCUCGUUUCCUUUAUGUUUUCAUGUUAAUUUAGCUAGAAACUCUGAUAACGCCUUCAGAAGAAUUUUGGCGAUGUCUGAGCUACAAACUAUAUAUAAAAGAUAGAUGCAGGCAAAGUGACUCCACAUUUAAGCUGGAAGUUACCAUUUUU